rnacentral:sRNA from 1 species
AGCAGCCGCGGUAAUUCCAGCUCCAAUAGCGUAUAUUAAAGUUGUUGCAGUUAAAAAGCUCGUAGUUGAAUUUCGGGGUUAGUAGGUUGGUCAUGCCUCUGGUAUGUACUGGUCUCACUGAUUCCUCCUUCCUGAUGAGCCGUAAUGCCAUUAAUUUGGUGUUGCGGGGAAUUUGGACUGUUACUUUGAAAAAAUUAGAGUGUUUAAAGCAAGCUAACGCUUGAAUACAUUAGCAUGGAAUAAUGAAAUAGGACGUUCGAUCCUAUUUUGUUGGUUUCUAGGAUUGACGUAAUGAUUAAUAGGGAUAGUUGGGGGCAUUAGUAUUCAAUUGUCAGAGGUGAAAUUCUUGGAUUUAUUGAAGACUAACUACUGCGAAAGCAUUUGCCAAGGAUGUUUUCAUUAAUCAAGAACGAAAGUUAGGGGAUCGAAGACGAUCAGAUACCGUCGUAGUCUUAACCAUAAACUAUG